GAUAAACGGUAUUUAACAACCUUUACGAGGUGUUUAUCAUAAAGUAGUUGCCCUUGCAACGAAAACUAAUAGUUAA
rnacentral:ribozyme from 1 species